UACGAACUGUGCAAACGUUAUUCGGAAUCACUGGGCUUAAAGGGUGCGUAGGCGGCUUGUUAAGUAGGGUGUGAAAGCCCCCGGCUCAACCGGGGAAUUGCGCCCUAAACUGGCGAGCUUGAGUGAGAUAGGGGUGUGUGGAACUUCCGGUGGAGCGGUGAAAUGUGUUGAUAUCGGAAGGAACGCCAGUGGCGAAGGCGGCAUCCUGGACUGGUACUGACGCUCAUGAGCGAAAGCGUGGGGAGCGAUCCGG
rnacentral:rRNA from 1 species